GGGGUGAUGGCCUACCAAGGCGACGACGGGUAGCCGGCCUGAGAGGGCGACCGGCCACACUGGGACUGAGACACGGCCCAGACUCCUACGGGAGGCAGCAGUGGGGAAUAUUGCACAAUGGGCGAAAGCCUGAUGCAGCGACGCCGCGUGAGGGAUGACGGCCUUCGGGUUGUAAACCUCUUUCAGCAGGGAAGAAGCGAGAGUGACGGUACCUGCAGAAGAAGCGCCGGCUAACUACGUGCCAGCAGCCGCGGUAAUACGUAGGGCGCAAGCGUUGUCCGGAAUUAUUGGGCGUAAAGAGCUCGUAGGCGGCUUGUCGCGUCGGAUGUGAAAGCCCGGGGCUUAACCCCGGGUCUGCAUUCGAUACGGGCAGGCUAGAGUUCGGUAGGGGAGAUCGGAAUUCCUGGUGUAGCGGUGAAAUGCGCAGAUAUCAGGAGGAACACCGGUGGCGAAGGCGGAUCUCUGGGCCGAUACUGACGCUGAGGAGCGAAAGCGUGGGGAGCGAACAGGAUUAGAUACCCUGGUAGUCCACGCCGUAAACGUUGGGAACUAGGUGUGGGCGACAUCCACGUCGUCCUC
rnacentral:rRNA from 1 species